rnacentral:sRNA from 1 species
AUCUGGAACUCCCUUCCAGAGCUCCUCAGAGCCCUAGUGUGCCCUUUCUGGUCCUGGCCCACCCAUCACUGCCUGAUAUUUCACUGAUGUGCUUCUUUUUUCUUGCCCUUUUAGGAUUUUCCCUUCUUGUCUUCCUUAGCAGUAGGUGUUUAUUUAUAUCCUGCCUCUCUUUGAGCCCCCAAAGUGGUUUGAAAUGCAUGAAAGUGUCUAUAGUUUGGGCCAUCCAUUUGAUGCCAAGUUUUCUAGCAGCCAGUGUAAAGGGGCUCUUCAUUGAUGGUGACCGCAUAGACGCCCCCAGUGUGAAGGAGCACCUGCUUCUUGACUUGGGUCUGGAGGCCGAAUACAGGAUCCAGGUGCAUCCCUACAAGUCCAUCCUGAGCGAGCUCAAGGCCCUGUGUGCUGACCUUUCCCCAAGGGAGAAGGUGUGGGUCAGUGACAAGGCCAGCUAUGCUGUGAGCGAGACCAUCCCCAAGGACCACCGCUGCUGUAUGCCUUACACCCCCAUCUGCAUCGCCAAAGCUGUGAAGAAUUCAGCUGAGUCAGAAGGCAUGAGGCGGGCUCAC